GAUGAACGCUGGCGGCGUGCCUAAUACAUGCAAGUCGAGCGAACAGACGAGGAGCUUGCUCCUCUGACGUUAGCGGCGGACGGGUGAGUAACACGUGGAUAACCUACCUAUAAGACUGGGAUAACUUCGGGAAACCGGAGCUAAUACCGGAUAAUAUAUUGAACCGCAUGGUUCAAUAGUGAAAGACGGUUUUGCUGUCACUUAUAGAUGGAUCCGCGCCGCAUUAGCUAGUUGGUAAGGUAACGGCUUACCAAGGCAACGAUGCGUAGCCGACCUGAGAGGGUGACCGGCCACACUGGAACUGAGACACGGUCCAGACUCCUACGGGAGGCAGCAGUAGGGAAUCUUCCGCAAUGGGCGAAAGCCUGCCGGAGCAACGCCGCGUGAGUGAUGAAGGUCUUCGGAUCGUAAAACUCUGUUAUUAGGGAAGAACAAAUGUGUAAGUAACUAUGCACGUCUUGACGGUACCUAAUCAGAAAGCCACGGCUAACUACGUG
rnacentral:rRNA from 1 species